AACACUACUAGAAAAAUGGUCUUUACUGACUUUAGAAUAGUGUCAGAAAUUACUUUCAUUGACACUUGUUAAUUGUGUCAGUAAUCUGGGAGUCAGAAAAAUAGUGACACUUGUAAGUGGUGUCAGUGAUUACUAUUACCACAGUAUCACCGAUAUUAUGACACCAUAGUAUUAGUAGUUAUUGAUAUUUUAUUAGUGUCUAUAAUUACUGUUACCA
rnacentral:lncRNA from 1 species